CGUGACGGGGCCGUGAUUAACAAUUCUUCUUCUUCCACAGGUGUAGAGUGUCCUUGCUGUGGUUUUGGUGCUGAAAUACUGGAGGUGGCUGUGUUGCGUGUAUUAGGUGACGGGUGUGGAGGCUUGCUAGGGCAUUGUGUUCCAGGUGUUAUAAGGUGGCAGAGACGGUGAUUGCUUACCUGGUGUUACGUUAUUUAUUACUCUUUUCAGCUGUGAUUGUGUUACGUGUGUGAUGUUUUGAGGCGACAGUGGGCGGGGAGGUGUGUGACGGGUGCUCAGGUGGUGGCGUGACGCGUGAGACAGUAUUACGUUAUUAUUUAUUACCUCCCAAAUCACCUAUAGCAGGCUUUUUUUAUUUCUUUUUUUUUGUUGCCUUUGAGUUGUCUCCUUUUCUGUAAAAAAAUAAACAAAUAAAUAAAAAAAUAAAUAAAUAAAAACCUGCGUGACGGGGCCGUGAUUAACUCUUCUUCUUCUUCCACAGGUGUAGAGUGCCCUUGCUGUGGUUGUGGCACUGAAACACUGGAGAUACUGGAGAUACUGGAGAUGGCUGUGUUGCGUGUGUUAGGUGAUGGGCGUGGAGGCUUGCUUGGGCCGUGUGUUCCAGGUGUUAUAAGGUGGCAGAGACGGUGAUUGCUUACCUGGUGUUAUGUUAUUUUAUUACUCUUUUCAGCUGUGAUUGUGUUACGUGUGUGUUGUGUUGGGGUGACGGUGGACGGGGAGGUGUGUGACGGGCGCUCAGGUGAUGGCGUGACGCGUGAGACGGUAUUACGUUAUUAUUUAUUACCUCCCAAAUCACCUUUAGCAGGCUUAUUUGCUGCUUUUUUUUGUUGCCCUUGAGCUGUCUCCCUUUCUGUAAAAAAAAAAAAAAAAAAUGAAUAAAUAAAAACCUGCGUGACGGGGCUGUGAUUAACUCUUGUUCUUCUUCUUCCACAGGUGUAGAGUGCCCUUGCUGUGGUUGUGGCACUGGAUAUACUGGAGAUACUGGAGGUGGCUGUGUUGCGUGUGUUAGGUGACCGGCGUGGAGACUUGCUAGGGCAGUGUUUUCCAGGUGUUAUAAGGUGGCAGAGACGGUGAUUGCUUACCUGGUGUUACGUUAUUUUAUUACUCUUUUCAGCUGUGAUUGUGUUACGUGUGUGUUGUGUUGGGGUGACGGUGGGCGGGAAGGUGUGUGACCCGUGAUCAGGUGGUGGCGUGACGCGUGAUACAGUAUUACGUUAUUAUUUGUCAUAAACUCUUCUUCUUCUUCUUCCACAGGUGUAGAGUGUCCUUGCUGUUGUUGUGGCAUUGAAACACUUUAACACCUUCUAUUAGACUAUCUUGAAUACAACCCAAAGUUCACUUUAACAUCAUGCAAGAAAUAGAAAAACAGGAACAGAGAUGAUAUACUUGAUAGUAGUAUAUUAGCAUCUAACAGACUAAUGCUGUGGUUUCGAAACUGAAACACUAGUACACCAAUUAGACUGCCCUGAAUACAAUGACCUCAAAGUUGACCUCAUGCAAGAAAUAGAAAACAGGAAUAGAGAUGAUAAGCUUGCUAGCGUACUUGCAUUUAACAGAUUGAAAAAAUAGAAACCGGAAAAAAAAUUGUGGACUGUGGAAUACUUGAAAAAGAAGAAGCAAGAACAUAGAAGUUAUAUCCAGGAAAAGGCAAAGAAAGAAAAAAAAAAGAAAAGAAAAAAAAAAAAAAAACAGGAAUAGAACACAUGCCUCAACGCCCACCUACACAGACUGAACAUAGUCCAGAACCCACACUGCCCAUGGUGCCCCACAUAACCCUACACGCCAGAACACUUCCUGCUCCACUGCCCAAGAUUCCACGUCCUCUGCACCAACC